rnacentral:RNase_P_RNA from 1 species
GAAGCUGGCUAGACAGUCGCCGCGUGCCUUGUCGCACGGGGAGGAAAGUCCGGGCUCCACAGAGCAGGAUGCCGGUUAACGACCGGACGCCGUGAGGCGAUGGAAAGUGCCACAGAAAACACACCGCCGAUGGCUGCGCAAGCAGAUCAGGUAAGGUUGAAAUGGCGAGGUAAGAGCUCACCGCGCUGGUGGCAACAUCAGCGGCAGGGUAAACCCCAUCCGGAGCAAGACCAAAUAAGCAGGCCAUGACGUGGCUCGCGUCGCCUGCGGGUAGGUUGCUUGAGCGUCAGGUAACGAAACGCCUAGAGGAAUGACUGUCCACGACAGAACCCGGCUUACCGGCUGGCUUCACCU